rnacentral:rRNA from 1 species
UUAAGCAUAUCAAUAAGCGGAGGAAAAGAAACUAACAAGGAUUCCCCUAGUAACUGCGAGUGAAGCGGGAAAAGCUCAAAUUUAAAAUGUGGUGGUCCUUGCGGCCGUCCGAGUUGUAAUCUGGAGAAGUGCUUUCCGCGCUGGACCGUGUACAAGUCUCUUGGAACAGAGCGUCGUAGAGGGUGAGAAUCCCGUCUUUGACACGGACUACCAGUGCUUUGUGAUGCGCUCUCAAAGAGUCGAGUUGUUUGGGAAUGCAGCUCAAAAUGGGUGGUAAAUUCCAUCUAAAGCUAAAUAUUGGCGAGAGACCGAUAGCGAACAAGUACCGUGAGGGAAAGAUGAAAAGAACUUUGGAAAGAGAGUUAAACAGUACGUGAAAUUGCUGAAAGGGAAACGCUUGAAGUCAGUCGCGUCGGCCGGGACUCAGCCUUGCUUUCGCUUGGUUUAUUUUCUGGUCGACGGGUCAGCAUCAGUUUCGAUCGUCGGACAAUGGCCAGGGGAAUGUGGCAUCUUCGGAUGUGUUAUAGCCCUUGGUCGCAUACGAUGGUUGGGACUGAGGAUCUCAGCGCACCUUUAUGGUCGGGGUUCGCCCACGUUUGCGCUUAGGAUGCUGGCAUAAUGGCUUUAAACGACCCGUCUUGAAACACGGACCAAGGAGUCUAACAUGCAUGCGAGUGUUUGGGUGGAAAACCCGAGCGCGCAAUGAAAGUGAAAGUUGAGACCUCUGUCGUGGAGGGCAUCGACGCCCGGACCAGACCUUUUGUGACGGCCCUGCGGUAGAGCAUGUAUGUUGGGACCCGAAAGAUGGUGAACUAUGCCUGAAUAGGGUGAAGCCAGAGGAAACUCUGGUGGAGGCUCGUAGCGAUUCUGACGUGCAAAUCGAUCGUCAAAUUUGGGUAUAGGGGCGAAAGACUAAUCGAACCAUC